rnacentral:rRNA from 1 species
CAUGCAAGUCGAACGCGUGUGCUCCUUCGGGGGUACGCGAGUGGCGAACGGGUGAGUAACACGUGAGCAACCUGCCCUUGACUUCGGAAUAACAGCUGGAAACAGCUGCUAAUACCGGAUACGACUUCGCUCGGCAUCGAGUGAGGUGGAAAGUUCCGGCGGUCAGGGAUGGGCUCGCGGCCUAUCAGCUUGUUGGUGAGGUAACGGCUCACCAAGGCUUCGACGGGUAGCCGGCCUGAGAGGGCGACCGGCCACACUGGGACUGAGAUACGGCCCAGACUCCUACGGGAGGCAGCAGUGGGGAAUAUUGCACAAUGGGCGAAAGCCUGAUGCAGCAACGCCGCGUGCGGGAUGACGGCCUUCGGGUUGUAAACCGCUUUCAGUUCCGACGAAGCGAAAGUGACGGUAGGAACAGAAGAAGCACCGGCCAACUACGUGCCAGCAGCCGCGGUGAUACGUAGGGUGCGAGCGUUGUCCGGAAUUAUUGGGCGUAAAGGGCUUGUAGGCGGUUCGUCACGUCGGAAGUGAAAACUCAGGGCUCAACCCUGAGCCUGCUUUCGAUACGGGCGAACUAGAGGAAGGUAGGGGAGAACGGAAUUCCUGGUGGAGCGGUGGAAUGCGCAGAUAUCAGGAGGAACACCGGUGGCGAAGCGGUUCUCUGGACCUUUCCUGACGCUGAGAAGCGAAAGCGUGGGGAGCAAACAGGCUUAGAUACCCUGGUAGUCCACGCCGUAAACGGUGGGCACUAGGUGUGGGGGACAUUCCACGUCCUCCGUGCCGCAGCUAACGCAUU